GUGAUUAAAUCGAGCGUGUUUUCAUUGACCGCUCACCCUUCUCACCAUCCACAUACACCUGUGCACUGUUUAGCCUGAGCCGGUUUUCCGGUCCAGGUUAUCAUUUCAUACAAACUCUAGUCUUAUGAAUGUAAACGUUUUAAUAACAUAAUA
rnacentral:misc_RNA from 1 species